rnacentral:rRNA from 1 species
GACGAACGCUGGCGGCGUGCCUAAUACAUGCAAGUCGAACGAGUGGUGAACGGGUGCGUAACACCUGCGAACCUGCCCAUCAGACGGCGAGAACCCUUGGAAACAGGCGCUAAUACCGUCUACUGAUGGAUGUACCCGCGGUGCAUUAGCUCGUUGGUGGGGUAAAGGCCUACCAAGGCGACGAUCCGUAACUGGUCUGAGAGGAUGAUCAGCCACACUGGAACUGAGACACGGUCCAGACUCCUACGGGAGGCAGCAGUGGGGAAUAUUGGACAAUGGGCGAAAGCCUGAUCCAGCCAUGCCGCGUGUGUGAAGAAGGUCUUCGGGUUGUAAAGCACUUUAAGUGGGGAGGCGUUACCAACAGAAUAAGCACCGGCUAACUUCGUGCCAGCCGCCGCGGUAAUAC